rnacentral:rRNA from 1 species
CAAACCUACGGGGCGCAGCAGUGGGGGAUAUUGGACAAUGGGGGGAACCCUGAUCCAGCGACGCCGCGUGAGUGAAGAAGUAUUUCGGUAUGUAAAGCUCUGUCAGCAGGGAAGAAAGAAAUGACGGUACCUGACCAAGAAGCCCCGGCUAACUACGUGCCAGCAGCCGCGGUAAUACGUAGGGGGCAAGCGUUAUCCGGAUUCACUGGGUGUAAAGGGAGCGUAGACGGCGAGACAAGUCUGGAGUGAAAGGCCGGGGCCCAACCCCGGGACUGCUCUGGACACUGCCUGGCUGGAGUACAGGG